rnacentral:lncRNA from 1 species
CCUUUGAACUUAAGGACGCUUAACUAUGGCAACAGAAUACGCAUGCUCGAAAAUCCUUUCUGUGAUUGGACAAAAUGCUGUCAUGGUGGGUGAUUUGGUUGUGUUUGAAAAAAAACGUCUCGUUUAAUUAUAUCGUGAUGGAAAGCAAGUGAAAAACUAUAAAUAUUUGAACUAGAUCUUACAAAGAUUUAUAUUUUUAUUAAAAUAAUUGUUUCUCCAAUAGCUCUUUGCAUCCAUGACAGCUGUUUAUUCGGGACAAUUAUAUAAUUUUUAAUGUAAACUUUGUUGUACGAACGUACAUGACUUUUAGAACGCACCUACGCAUGUGAGAUUUCCGCGGGGUUUUUGGUGAAUGUAAACAGAAAGAUACGAGGACCGAGAAUACUGAACACAAACAGAGAAAACGUUAUUUAAAUGGUAAAUCACUUAUUUAAAUAUAAUCGGAAUAUUCACAAA